rnacentral:rRNA from 1 species
GACGAACGCUGGCGGCGUGCUUAACACAUGCAAGUCGAACGGAAAGGCCCUGCUUUUGUGGGGUGCUCGAGUGGCGAACGGGUGAGUAACACGUGAGUAACCUGCCCUUGACUUUGGGAUAACUUCAGGAAACUGGGGCUAAUACCGGAUAGGAGCUCCUGCUGCAUGGUGGGGGUUGGAAAGUUUCGGCGGUUGGGGAUGGACUCGCGGCUUAUCAGCUUGUUGGUGGGGUAGUGGCUUACCAAGGCUUUGACGGGUAGCCGGCCUGAGAGGGUGACCGGCCACAUUGGGACUGAGAUACGGCCCAGACUCCUACGGGAGGCAGCAGUGGGGAAUAUUGCACAAUGGGCGGAAGCCUGAUGCAGCAACGCCGCGUGCGGGAUGACGGCCUUCGGGUUGUAAACCGCUUUCGCCUGUGACGAAGCGUGAGUGACGGUAAUGGGUAAAGAAGCACCGGCUAACUACGUGCCAGCAGCCGCGGUGAUACGUAGGGUGCGAGCGUUGUCCGGAUUUAUUGGGCGUAGAGGGCUCGUAGGUGGUUGAUCGCGUCGGAAGUGUAAUCUUGGGGCUUAACCCUGAGCGUGCUUUCGAUACGGGUUGACUUGAGGAAGGUAGGGGAGAAUGGAAUUCCUGGUGGAGCGGUGGAAUGCGCAGAUAUCAGGAGGAACACCAGUGGCGAAGGCGGUUCUCUGGGCCUUUCCUGACGCUGAGGAGCGAAAGCGUGGGGAGCGAACAGGCUUAGAUACCCUGGUAGUCCACGCUGUAAACGGUGGGUACUAGGUGUGGGGUCCAUUCCACGGGUUCCGUGCCGUAGCUAACGCUUUAAGUACCCCGCCUGGGGAGUACGGCCGCAAGGCUAAAACUCAAAGGAAUUGACGGGGCCCCGCACAAGCGGCGGAGCAUGCGGAUUAAUUCGAUGCAACGCGUAGAACCUUACCUGGGUUUGACAUGGAUCGGGAGUGCUCAGAGACGGGUGUGCCUCUUUUGGGGUCGGUUCACAGGUGGUGCAUGGCUGUCGUCAGCUCGUGUCGUGAGAUGUUGGGUUAAGUCCCGCAACGAGCGCAACCCUUGUUCACUGUUGCCAGCACGUUAUGGUGGGGACUCAGUGGAGACCGCCGGGGUCAACUCGGAGGAAGGUAGGGAUGACGUCAAGUCAUCAUGCCCCUUAUGUCCAGGGCUUCACGCAUGCUACAAUGGCUGGUACAGAGAGUGGCGAGCCUGUGAGGGUGAGCGAAUCUCGGAAAGCCGGUCUCAGUUCGGAUUGGGGUCUGCAACUCGACCUCAUGAAGUCGGAGUCGCUAGUAAUCGCAGAUCAGCAACGCUGCGGUGAAUACGUUCCCGGGGCU